AUUCCAGCUCCAAUAGCGUAUAUUAAAGUUGUUGCGGUUAAAAAGCUCGUAGUUGGAUCUCGGCGGGCAGGGGGUGGUUCGCUCUUCAGCGCUACUGCCCCGCUUUGCCCGUGUGAUUGGCGGAGGUUUCGGGGUGCUCUUCGUUGAGUGACUCGGAGCGCCGUCAGGUUUACUUUGAAAAAAUUAGAGUGCUCAAAGCAGGCUUUUCACGCUUGAAUAUUCGUGCAUGGAAUAAUGGAAUAGGAACUCGUUUCUAUUUUGUUGGUUUCGAACACCGAAGUAAUGAUUAACAGGGACAGUCAGGGGCACUCGUAUUCCGCCGAGAGAGGUAAAAUUCUCAGACCAGCGGAAGACGAACCACUGCGAAAGCAUUUGCCAGGGAUGUUUUCAUCA
rnacentral:rRNA from 1 species